ACAAACAAGGUAUUCUUCUCCAUGAGGUCUUCACUUCCUUGUACUGUCUCUCCUGAAGUCUUAUUCCCUGGUCUAAAUAAUUCUUGCCUGCCAAUCUAUCAACCCCUCCUGCCCUGCUGUGCUCAGACAUGCCCGCCAGGAAACCACCCCCUCCCUGCUGUAACAGCUUUACCCGCAGAAACUGUUCUUCCCUGCGCUCUUCUAAUUAGCUAAUUACAUUUAGCUUAGACUGUGCGGCCGACCCCAACCAAUAGGGGAAUGAAACAGCAACUAAGGCCAACAGGGUUAGGGAUUAAAAACCCUCUCCAUUAAAAAUGCUCUCCAUUGUGUGAUGUGCUCUCGCCAUUGCUCCACCCACAAGAUACACUCUUCUAUACAAGUAAAUUUGCCUAGCUGAGAAAACUUAUAUUCAAAUGCUAUUUCUUUUGUGGCACUAAAAAUUUGUUCCAACAAUAGAUUUCUGUGGUUUUAACCUCACUUAUUUAAAAUUAAAUGGAUUUGUAAGCCA
rnacentral:lncRNA from 10 species